GACAGAGGGGGCAAGCGUUGCUCGGAAUUACUGGGCGUAAAGCGUGCGCAGGCGGUUCGUUGUGUCGGCGGUGAAAGCCCCGGGCUCAACCUGGGAAUGGCCGUUGAAACUGGCGAACUGGAGUGUGGCAGAGGGGGGUGGAAUUCCGCGUGUAGCAGUGAAAUGCGUAGAGAUGCGGAGGAACACCGAUGGCGAAGGCAGCCCCCUGGGCUGACACUGACGCUCAGGCACGAAAGCGUGGGGAGCAAACAGG
rnacentral:rRNA from 1 species